UACGUAGGGGGCAAGCGUUGUCCGGAUUUAUUGGGCGUAAAGAGCGUGUAGGCGGCCAUGUAGGUCCGGUGUGAAAACUCGAGGCUUAACCUCGAGAUGUCAUCGGAAACCAUUUGGCUAGAGUCCGGAAGAGGAGAGUGGAAUUCCUGGUGUAGCGGUGAAAUGCGCAGAUAUCAGGAAGAACACCAAUGGCGAACGCAGCUCUCUGGGACGGUACUGACGCUGAGACGCGAAAGCGUGGUGAGCGAACAGG
rnacentral:rRNA from 1 species